rfam:Triticum aestivum genome assembly, contig: Triticum_aestivum_CS42_TGACv1_scaffold_030957_1BL
UUUGUACUCUCUCGGUUCCGAAUUACUUGUCUUAGAUUUAUCUAGAUACGGAUGUAUCUAGCACUAAAAUGAGUCUAGAUACAUCUGUAUGUAGACAAAUCCAAGACAAGUAAUUCGGAACGAGGGAGUAGCUG